GACGGAAGGUGCAAGCGUUGCUCGGAAUCACUGGGCGUAAAGGUGCGUAGGCGGCUUGGUGGGUCUGGUGUGAAAGCCCCGGGCUCAGCCGGAAGGGCACUAGAAACUGCCGAGCUGGAGUGCCGGAGGGGAGAGUGGGAUUCCUGGUGUAGCGGUGAAAUGCGUAGAUAUCAGGAGGAACACCGGUGGCGAAGGCGGAUCUCUGGCCAUUACUGACGCUGGAGGAGCGAAGCGUGGGAGCGAACAGGA
rnacentral:rRNA from 1 species